rnacentral:rRNA from 1 species
CCAAAAACAUAGCCCUUUAUUACCUAUAAAGGGUGCAACCUGCUCAAUGGCUGAAAAUAAAUAAAAUAAAUACAGUUAAAUAGCCGCGGUAACUCUGACCGUGAUAAAGUAGCAUAAUCACUUGUCACUUAAUUAGUGAAUGGAAUGAAUGGUUAAACGAAUCCUACACUGUCUCAAUAAGAAAUCCAGUAAAAUUGGAAUUGUAGUGAAGAUACUACAUAAAGAUUGCAAGACGAAAAGACCCUAUUGAGCUUUACUGAAUACUUAUAUACCAACACAGAAAAUAAAAAAUAUAUCCUUUAUAAACUAUAAGUAAGACAGUUUGGUUGGGGCGACCACCUCUAAAAUAGUAACAGAGGAGAUCUAAAGAUUAUUUAAAUGUAUAUAAACCUAACUGAAAUAGCUAUAACUUAAACAGAUAUAAAACGUAGGACAUAAUGACCCGUUAUAUACUAAUUCAAAAUAUAACGAUUACAAAAAAAGUUACCAUAGGGAUAACAGGGUAAUAUU